CUACAAACCGGGUUAUCGUGGCGGUCCUGAGUUUGUCGAAGGAGCGCUAAGGAAAGUCCGGACAGCAUAGAGCAACACACCGGUUAACAGCCGGGUUCCGGUUCCUGAGCUUGUCGAAGGAUCGGAAACAGAAAGUGCCACAGAAAAUUACCUCACCCCGACCCUCUCCAUAAAUGGAGAGGGAGAAAGGUGUAAGGGUGAAAACGUGAGGUAAGAGCUCACGUCCCGAUGUGGUAACGCAUCGGGAGGGUAAACCUUGUGUGCUGUAAUGCCACGUAUAUCAGCGUUUGAGGGCUGCUCGUCCGAUGCUGAAGGGUAGGCAGCAAGAUUGUUGCAGUAAUGUAACAGCAAGAUAAAUGAUAACCAUCCGUUAUGUGCAAACCACUAACUGAUUACAGAAUCCGGCUUACAGGUUUGUAGUAAA
rnacentral:RNase_P_RNA from 1 species